rnacentral:snRNA from 1 species
GGCUUUGUGCAGUAGCAGUAUCAUAGCCAAUGAGGUUUAUCCGAGGGACGAUUAUUGCUAAUUGAAAACUUUUCCCAAUACCCCAUCACGUUGACUUGAAAUAUAGUCGGCAUUGGCAAUUUUUGACAGUCUGUACGGAGA